UUUUAACUUCAAAUGCUGAAAACGUUGUCUGAGGGCAGCCGUUGAUGCUUCGCUGAGUUUCAUUUUUCUUGAUAAUUCAGACCAAAGAACUAAAAGGGGCUUUCAGUGGGAGGUCACCAUGGGAAGGCUGCUUGAACUACAAGCCAUCAACCUGGAUGUCCUCAUGGUGCUAAUCGGCCACUGCAGUCUGAAUGUUGCCGUUGUCUCUCCUGAGGCAGAAUAGCCGGGAUGAAGGAGCUCCUCCAAAUUCCCUGACCCCUAUGCCCCUUCUGUCACCCCUGGCACUUACUCCCAAGUGAUGGCACAGGACAUCAAAUUAAGCUGACGGUUUGCUUAUCAGAACAAGUCAAAGUACUGGAGUCACAACCCCAGCAGCAUUGGGAAGACAAUGCAACAAGAGGCGGGCAGGUAAAACGCUCAGUGAGACGUCUGUGUUUGUUUUACGAGGGGCGCUGAGACCGCCCGCUGAUGCUGAGAGCUCUGUUUGGAGGUCAUGUGAUCUGAGAGACACAGAUGUCCAGAUUGGAUGGAGUUGUACUGUGAAAUACAGACUUUGGGCUCAUACAUCAUGUGAUUGAGAGGUGGAGAUUGAACUUCAAACCAUGGUCCACCUUUUCUUGUCUUAUACAUGUUUCUCUAUUUAAAAGAUUGCACGAUAUUACACUAAAGAAAUUACUUAAAAAAGAAACGUUUAAAUUACUCAUGGGGCAACAAAUGCAUCUAUACAGAAAAAAAGUAUUCAUUCAAUUUACUUAAUUUAGUUUUUCAAACUUUUUUUGUUUAAAUGUAGCUUAAAUAAAUUGAUUGCGACCACUUACCUUAAAAAUUGAGUACAUUGAAUGAAUCUUUUUUUUUCAGUGUAUGAACCAGGUAUUUUGUGAGGUAUUUCCAAUAUAUUUAUAAAAAGCUUUUGUAUCUGUAUAUUCUCAUUGUUUAUAAGUGGUGCUCACUGCCGUACUACUCUUCUCUGGGUAAAA